AGUCAUCGCGUGCGAGUGCUGGCGCACUCGAUAGCACAAAGACACCACGCACAGAUGCGCCUCCAGUGGGCAGGACUCAUGCUCGCUCGUCUUGCGUGGCCAACGAGUCGCCUCGCCAUCGCAGCGACCGGCAGCUCUGUGCCUCUGUGCCGGGGUCGUCUCGCAGGCGUCGCAGCAGCGCUGGGCGCCCCGUCUUUCGUUAGCGCAGCACUUGUGUCACAACGAUGGGCCAGCUCGGAUGGUAUUGGCAACAACGCCAGCACCGGAGACUCUAGCACGGGUACUGCAGCAAUUGCUGAUCUGAGCGAGAAGGAGCUGGUUGAGCUCAACAAGGAGGCCGCGGAGGCCUUCGAAAAGGGCGAAUUUUCCUCGGCCAUCGAAGCGUGGGAGAAGGUGGCACAGUCGAAGCAGCACACCCCAAACAGCCCCACCCUCAUGAGCUGCCUCAACAACCUCGCUUGCGCGUACGGUGAGAUGGGUGACAGCAUACGAAAGCUGAAGCUACUGGAGAGAUCUCGCGACCUGGUUCAAGCAGUGUACGGCACCGACCACCCGCAAUAUGGCAUGGUCUUGUAUAACAUGGCCUGCGCCAAGGAGGAGAUGGGCCUCUAUGCUGAUAUGAAGCAGCUGCUUGAGCAGUCGCUCGCUCUCCAUGAGAAGCGUUUCAACCCACGACAUGCCAAGGUCGGUCGCGUUCUGCUGUUGCUCGCCGCCGCCCACGGCCAUCUUGGCGAGCACGAAGCCCAGCUGCGUACAGCCGAGCGUGCGUACGAGAUUGUGAAGCGUCACUGCGGCCCUGAACACGUGCAGACAACCAUUGCGAUGAUGACUCUCGGUCGAGCCUACGGUGCGGCGGGGCAGGUGGAGCGACAGCUGCAGCUCGCACAGGCAGCCUACAGCAUUCAAGAGAGGCGGCUUGGCCCAAUGAGCCCGCAGCUGGCCAUGACUCUGCUGGAGGUUGCCGAAGCGCACAGGGUCAACGGCGAUUUCUACAAUCAGAAGGCGCUGCUCGAGCAGGCUGUGGAGCUGCAGCAGCGGGCCUUUGGGCAGCAGCACACCCAACUCAUUGACACAUACAUCGCACUCGGUGACGCCUGCGGGCAGCUGGAAAAUCCGAAAUCGCAAGCGCAGUACUACCUUGAGGCGCUCAAGAUUGCACGUCAGCGCUUCCAAGGAAGGCACAUUGCCAUCGGCAAGGCUGCAGUGAGCGCCGCCCGCGCGUACCUCUCUCAUGGCAACAAGGCGAAGGCGCAAGCGUUGUUGGACGAGGCGCUGUCUAUUGUGAAGCGCAACGUGAGCCCGGAGCACCCUCUCUCCAAGCAGCUGGCCAAGGUCGCAAAGGAGGUGGCGCGGUAGUGGCACCGCACCUCUGGAAUCAUUUGUGUGUGUGUGUGUGUGUGUGUGUGUUUGUGGCGAAGUGUGUUGGGGUGUUGCUUGCGAAUGAGGUGGCCCUGCUCCGCCGCGCCGGGGCCGUGAGAAAAGGUGGGAGGGAGGCGGUGACGCAUCGCUGGUGCACCACAGUUUCGACCUCUUUCUCUCUCCCUUUCCCCUUG
rnacentral:misc_RNA from 1 species